GACGAACGCUGGCGGCGUGCUUAACACAUGCAAGUCGAACGGAAAGGCCUCUUUCGGGGGGUACUCGAGUGGCGAACGGGUGAGUAACACGUGAGUAACCUGCCCUUGACUUUGGGAUAACUUCAGGAAACUGGGGCUAAUACCGGAUAGGAGCUCCUGCUGCAUGGUGGGGGUUGGAAAGUUUCGGCGGUUGGGGAUGGACUCGCGGCUUAUCAGCUUGUUGGUGGGGUAGUGGCUUACCAAGGCUUUGACGGGUAGCCGGCCUGAGAGGGUGACCGGCCACAUUGGGACUGAGAUACGGCCCAGACUCCUACGGGAGGCAGCAGUGGGGAAUAUUGCACAAUGGGUGGAAGCCUGAUGCAGCAACGCCGUGUGCGGGAUGACGGCCUUCGGGUUGGAAACCGAUUUCGCUCAUGACGAAGCUUUGUGUGACGGUAGUGGGUAAAGAAGCACCGGCUAACUACGUG
rnacentral:rRNA from 1 species